ACAAGUGGAAGCCAUCCACCCUCUCUGAUUUUUGAUAGAACCGAAAUAUGAGCGAGAAACAUAAAGCCAGAAACUAAUUUGUCCGCCAGAUUAGAAGAAUUACAAGUGUCACUAAAGUGGUGCUCACAAUCAUCAGACCGACCGCAGCUAUGCCAGCAAGUUGAACAUGAAUUGCAGUAGGAAUACCCAAAAUUAAAGCCGACAGGAUUAGUUACUACUGUUCAUUCAACUCCUCCCUUGUAACAAACAGUAUGGCAUUAUACAGGAUUUAAAACUCACUUGGUAUACCAUAUAGCAUCAGAAAAGUUUUGAAAUUGAAACUCAUUUGUCACCAGCAAACACCAUAAAAUCACAGGGCCAUCACAGCACAGCGGAGAAUAUCAACAGGUCUUCCCCUGAAAAAGAAAGGGAAUAGGAUUCUUUCUUUUUUUGGUUGGAAGCAGCAGGGAAGGAAGGUGAUGCUUAAAGAAAAAUAAUUGAGAAAAGAGAAGCACGCGUCCAGGGUAAAGAAAAAUGUAGAAUAUGCUGUCAAUUAGAUGUAUCAAUCAAGCAUUUAUAACACAUACCAAUAUACAAUUGCAAAUUUGCAAUAGGUCUUAAUUCUUACACAUGAAUUUUCUCUAGAACUAAUUAUUAAAAAGUCUAUUGUACCCUUAACAUUUUAUUUUUACUUAUUACACCAUUAAACUGUUAUUUAUUGUAAUCAAUAGGCAAGAUUUGCCUCACUCAUCAAUGAAUAAUUGAAUGUUCAAGUUGAAAUAAAUAAAUAUCCCACGGGGGCGCAAACGCACACAAAUAUAAAGUUAAGUAAAUAUCCCAUUAAUCAUUGUUGGGCAAGGAAAAUUGUGCCUAUCAAUUAUAAAGAUAAAAACUAAGGAUGCAAUAGGUUGAUAAUAAAAAUUAUAAUGGCCUGACACAUUGAAAUAAAAAGCCAGAGGUACAAUAGUAUCUACCAAUUAGUUCAGGGACAAGUUUAUAUAUUUAGCUAUUGCAACGUUACUUUUUUUUUAAAAAUAACAACAUAAUGUCAUGUGAGAUAAAUUAGGGUAAAUAAAUCAAUAGAAAAACCUGCAUGGU
rnacentral:misc_RNA from 1 species